GCGAGGCGCGCGGGCUGGGCCCAGGGCGGCAGUGGAGGCUUCACACCGCUUCCUCCGCGGGAGCCUUCACACCGCUUCCUCCGCGCGCUGACGGAGGAUUCCUGGCCUCACAGCAGUGCCUGGCCUGUGGGCGUCCCCGGCAGUCCUCGGCUGCGGGACCUGUAUCGGGACUGCGCAAAGUGGGCUUCCAGGAGAGCGGGGCGUCCCUCAGUCAGCUGAGCCUUGGAGCGUGGGGCAGCCCAGGCCCGUGAGGCCGCCAGUGUCACCCUCAGGCCCGCGAGGCCGCCCAGCCCCUUGUGGGGUCCAAGGCCAAUUCUGGAUCAGUCACGAGGCAAGACCGCGGACCCUCAGGAGACCACCAGGAGCCCGCCGCGCAUUCCUCCGCCUCCACCACGCCAGUCACCUGCUCAGCCCGAGGGCAGUCAGCGGCCAUCGCCCCAGUGAGGCGGCCCGUGAGGAGCUGAGGCCGUGACCAGGGCAGCGCCCUGCGAGUCAGCGUCAGUCCCCGCGCCAGCCAGUUCCUCAGACAAUCAGCUCACCAUUCCCAUCACUUAUGCUGGGCAAUCAUCAAUAUACCCGCUGUCAUGAUCUUAAGUACUGCUGGAUCCACAACAGCUCCUUCCUAAACUUCUCAUAUGCAAAGUUGUAUCUCUUGAGUCUGGCCUGGUAGCAGAUGGGCACUUAACCAAUGCAUCGUGGAGAACCCUGUGGCCCAGCUGACUAUAUACAGGGACGUCAGGAUCCACGCCCCCCGGCAAAUCAGGUUCCAUGUCCUCAGACCCGAGGACAAGACCAGAGGGGCAAGCAGCUCCGGCGUGUCCAGGUUCUCAGAUUCCUUCACCAGAGGCCAUGGAGUCAACAGAGAUGCUGCAAACUUACGGCUAAGGGGUGCCCAAUCAGUGGUUGCUUCACUCAGUGCCGGAUGAGAGAAGAGACCUCAGAAUCAGGCAAGGAUUAAAUUCCAGUCCUGCCCUGACUACCUGAGCGACCUGAACGCAGCCCCAGUGAGGUUCCCGCACCUCGAUGCACCGUGAAACCAUCAAGUCAGCAUGAUUAGCACAUCUGUCAGCUCAAAUAUUUAUCUUUUUUUUUUUUUUUGGUGACAACAUUUAAACUCCUCUCUUUUAGCUAUUUUGAAUUAUUCAAUACAUUACUCUGUCAUUUGAAACAACACAGAUGAACUUAGAGGAUGUUAUGUUGAGUGAAAUAAGCCAGGCACAGAGAGACAAACACGUUACAAUCUCACUAUAUUUGGAAUCUGAAGUAGUCAUCCUCAGAGAAGUAGAGAGGAGAAUAAUGGGUACCAGAGGCCGGGGCAGGGAGUGUGGACCGAUCGGAUGGGGAAAGGGAGAGUUUGGUCAUCAGGCACGCAUUUUCAGUUAGACAAGAGGAAUAAGUUCUGAUGUCCUGUUGCACAGCAUUGAGGGCUGCUAAUUCUACUGGAAUCAGCCUCGGACUCCUUUGCUGGAGGGGUCGUGAACCCUCAAACAAGCCCGAGCCUCUGCAUUUUCUUACUUGGGGAUCUUGAUCUCUGAGUACUCAUUGUUGGUGGCCUCUUGUCUCGAUAGGUCCUGAGGCUCCCCCUUAUGAAAGCUGAGGGAUGCAUACUGGAUCUCUCUUUCCUCCCCUGAGGAGGGGGCAGCCAGGCCAAGGUGUCGGGGGUUAUCGUCUGCCCAGGACUCAAUCAGGGUACCCUGAAUGGAGAGAGAGAAGGGAGUCAGAGCAGAGCAGUGGAAAUAGGAUCAGGCAGGGAGAGUCACAAGUUGUUUGAUUGGUUGGUUGGUUUGGAUAUAUUGCUCUGUAUAGAAUUAAACUUCAUGAGUUCCUGCCUCUAUCCCACAUGC